UACGAGGGGGGGCAAGCGUUGUUCGGAAUUAUUGGGCGUAAAGGGCGCGUAGGCGGUGUCGCAAGUCCGUGGUGAAUACUCUAGGCUCAACUUAGAGACUGCCGCGGAAACUGCGGUGCUUGAGUGUGGGAGAGGUGCGUGGAAUUCCCGGUGUAGCGGUGAAAUGCGUAGAUAUUGGGAAGAACACCGGUGGCGAAGGCGGCUCACUGGCUCAUUACUGACGCUCAGGCGCGAUAGCGUGGGGAUCAAACAGG
rnacentral:rRNA from 1 species